GUUGAAUUGAAUUUUGUGGGCUGGGCUGUGUUUCUGAUUCUGUAGACCAUAUCCAGGAUUCCUACCUUAUCGUAAAAGCUAUGCAAGUUGUAUACGAGCUCAUAUUUUAGAGAAAUGAAAAUUAGUUCUGUUAGUUCUCAGUAAGCUCUUAUCUUAUCUUGAAAGUGCUGAGAAGGUACAUUUGCUAUCAUCCAAGAAUUUGUAUAAUUUUAUACGAAGUGCGCAUGUGCAGUGACAAAAGGUGAAAAGUACACUCGUGAUGAAUACUACUUACUUCAUCCUGAAGACCCCCUGAACGACCACCAGAGGACACUGCGCAUGCUUAGAGUAGUUCCAAGGUGUUGCAGCUGAUAUUGUGAAAUAAUUGUGUAACCUAAUGAAUAUGCAAUAUACACGUUGUAACUUUAAUGAAUAUGUAUGUAACCAAAUUGUAUAAAAUGGUGAAGUUUGAAUCAGUGGUCGGAGCCAGCUUUGGGUGCGAGCCCCUGGUUUCCCCAGCGCUGAAAUAAAGCACCACAUAUAACUAC